rnacentral:rRNA from 1 species
UACGGAAGGUGCAAGCGUUAUCCGGAAUCACUGGGUUUAAAGGGUGCGUAGGCUGUUAUAUAAGUCAGAGGUGAAAUGUAUGGGCUUAACCGAUAACCUGCCUUUGAAACUGUAUAACUUGAAAUAGGCUGAGGUCAGCGGAAUGUGGCAUGUAGCGGUGAAAUGCAUAGAUAUGCCAUAGAACACCAAUUGCGAAGGCAGCUGACUAGACCUUAUUUGACGCUGAGGCACGAAAGCGUGGGGAGCGAACAGG